rnacentral:rRNA from 1 species
UACGUAGGGGGCUAGCGUUGUCCGGAAUCAUUGGGCGUAAAGCGCGUGUAGGCGGUUCGGUAAGUCCGCUGUGAAAGUCGGGGGCUCAACCCUCGGAUGCCGGUGGAUACUGUCGGGCUUGAGUACGGAAGAGGCGAGUGGAAUUCCUGGUGUAGCGGUGAAAUGCGCAGAUAUCAGGAGGAACACCUAUGGCGAAGGCAGCUCGCUGGGACGUUACUGACGCUGAGACGCGAAAGCGUGGGGAGCAAACAGG